AACCCUUUUAAUGAAGUCCAGAGAGGCUGCAAAAGGAACGUAAAAUCACACCUGUGAUUCUUUUUGACAGGAUGAUUAUGCCUCUUUGCAGCCUCAUGCAAAGAGGUUUUUUUAU
rfam:Bacillus cibi strain DSM 16189 Contig01, whole genome shotgun sequence.